rnacentral:rRNA from 1 species
UACGUAGGGCGCAAGCGUUAUCCGGAAUUAUUGGGCGUAAAGAGCUCGUAGGCGGUUUGUCGCGUCUGCCGUGAAAUUCCGGGGCUCAACUCCGGAUCUGCGGUGGGUACGGGCAGACUAGAGUGAUGUAGGGGAGACUGGAAUUCCUGGUGUAGCGGUGAAAUGCGCAGAUAUCAGGAGGAACACCGAUGGCGAAGGCAGGUCUCUGGGCAUUAACUGACGCUGAGGAGCGAAAGCAUGGGGAGCGAACAGG